rnacentral:rRNA from 1 species
GGCUCAGGAUGAACGCUAGCGGCAGGCUUAAUACAUGCAAGUCGUGGGGCAGCAUGAGUAGCAAUACUUGAUGGCGACCGGCAAACGGGUGAGGAACACGUACACAACCUUCCUUCAAGCGGGGAAUAGCCCAGAGAAAUUUGGACUAAUACCCCAUAAUAUAUUUGAUAAGGCAUCUUAUUAAUAUUAAAGCUUCGGCACUUGAUGAUGGGUGUGCGGCUGAUUAGAUAGUUGGCGGGGUAACGGCCCACCAAGUCUACGAUCAGUAGCUGAUGUGAGAGCAUGAUCAGCCACACGGGCACUGAGACACGGGCCCGACCCCUACGGGAGGCAGCAGUAAGGAAUAUUGGACAAUGGACGAAAGUCUGAUCCAGCCAUGCCGCGUGAAGGAUUAAGGUCCUCUGGAUUGUAAACUUCUUUUAUAUGGGACGAAAAAAGGGCAUUCUUGUUCACUUGACGGUACCAUAUGAAUAAGCACCGGCUAACUCCGUG